UGGAAAUUUUAGGGCAUUUUGUGUUAAAUGCCUAAUUUUGCCGAAAUGGGGAAUUUUAUUCCAUGAAUGGACCUUAGGUUAAAUUUUAUUAUGUGAUUAAUUAAAUUAAAUGUGAGAGACAUUUAAUUUAAUUAAUUAAUGUUAAGUUUGGUGAUUAAAACUUAAUAAGAGUGAAAAAAUGUGUCAAAAGUCAAUUUGGACUUUUCUUCUUAUAAACCUUUAUUAACCUUUAUAAAAAAAUAAAAAAUAAAUAAAAAAAAUUAAUGGUCACAUAUAUGGAAAAUGGUGGCUGGCCAUGUGCUAUUUUAGAGUGGUGUGAACCCAAAUUUUAUAAAAUUUAAAUGCCAUUUAAUUAAGAGGUCAAGUGGGCAAGUGGGUAGAAAAGCACUCAAGUACCUUGUGAUAUUUUGAAGAGUAUUGUGAGCAAUUCCCACACUAAGAACCGAUCACUCUCCAUCUCUCAUUCACUAUCAUCUUUUUUGAAGACCUCUCAAAGUGUUCUCUCCAUUUUUCAAGCCCAAGAACACCAAGGAAACUUUGAGGCUAAGUCUUGGUCUAGGAAGUAUUUUCCCUAAGUUUGUUAGGGUUUUUGAAAGGUUUUGAAGGAGUCAAAGCUUAUAGGAAGGUCCAAACCUUAAGCAAGAACACCAAAGAGGUAAGAGCAAGGGCAAGGCAGAGCAGUGAGCACUGGAGUCUUCCUUGCAAAUGUACAUGUGGACCGACCUUUUGGGAAGCCGUU